GUAUAUAUAGUGGUUGAUGAAUUUGAAAUCUGUUUUUGGAUAAGAAUUAAAUCUGGAUGGAUUGCUAUUUGAUCGAUUAAAUUAGGUUUAUCCGAUGGAUUUAAUCAUUCGCUUGGGAUUUAGGUUUCAAAAUUAGCCAUGCUUGAUUUCUUCAUCAUUUUCAUUAUAAUUAUCUUACUGCAUAUGAAAUUGAGUUUAUGUGAAAUAUGCUUGAAUAGACAUUGUUAUAGUAGAAUUUGCAUUUCAAUUGAUCACUUUGGUUAGUGCUGAGGUCAAUUUUCUUAGGAUUUCAAUUCAUUGCUUCGGUUAGUUCUCACCACAAAGUUCAAUUUUGUUAGGAUUUUAAUUCAUUGCUUGAAUUGCUUCGGUCAGUUCGGAUUUCAUUAGGCCAAACAUCAGGUUGCUUACAUUUCAAAGUAAAAUUUCGAUGUAGGAAGAAUUUGAGGAGUAUGCAGAGAAAGCAAAGACCUUGCCUGAAAGCACUUCAAAUGAAAACAGGCUCAUUCUAUAUGGACUCUACAAGCAAGCUACAGUUGGGAAUGUCAACACGAGUCGUCCCGGUAUGUUUAACAUGAGGGACAGGGCGAAGUGGGAUGCGUGGAAGGCCGUAGAAGGAAAAACUAAGGAGCAAGCAAUGAGUGAUUACAUCACCAAGGUGAAGCAGUUACUGGAAUAAGCUGCAGCCUCGUGCUGAUUACAAGCUUUCAUCGUCUAUGAGUUGCUCGUAAUAGGCUACCCAUGAUCUAUCAAAAUAAAAGAGUAGUAAAGGUGGGGAUGGGAAAGAACAUGAGAGAAUAAAUCAAGAUGGAAGAAGGAAGGCUGAACAACAACAGUUUUUGCAGUUACUAAUUUUAUUGCUUUUAAUUAGUAGUAUUAGUUAAUUAAUAACUGAUGUUAGGCCAAUGAGGUUUGGAAGGGAUGGGGAGAUUAUCAAUACAUAUGAAC